AGUGAACGCUGGCGGUAGGCCUAACACAUGCAAGUCGAACGGCAGCACAGUAAGAGCUUGCUCUUACGGGUGGCGAGUGGCGGACGGGUGAGGAAUACAUCGGAAUCUACUUUUUCGUGGGGGAUAACGUAGGGAAACUUACGCUAAUACCGCAUACGACCUACGGGUGAAAGCAGGGGAUCUUCGGACCUUGCGCGAUUGAAUGAGCCGAUGUCGGAUUAGCUAGUUGGCGGGGUAAAGGCCCACCAAGGCGACGAUCCGUAGCUGGUCUGAGAGGAUGGUCAGCCACACUGGAACUGAGACACGGUCCAGACUCCUACGGGAGGCAGCAGUGGGGAAUAUUGGACAAUGGGCGCAAGCCUGAUCCAGCCAUACCGCGUGGGUGAAGAAGGCCUUCGGGUUGUAAAGCCCUUUUGUUGGGAAAGAAAAGCAGCAGGUUAAUACCCCGCUGUUCUGACGGUACCCAAAGAAUAAGCACCAGCUAACUUCGUGC
rnacentral:rRNA from 1 species